GCCCUCGUAGUGUAAUCUGGAUAACAUAGUUCCCUGCGGUUUAAAAGCAGAAAGGAGCCGAUCUGGGUUCAAAUCCCAGCGAGGGCA
rnacentral:tRNA from 1 species